rnacentral:rRNA from 1 species
AACCUGGAUAGACACCGGGAUGCCUCAGUAACGGCGAGUGAAGCGGCAAGAGCUCAAAUUUGAAAGCUGGCCCCUCCGGGGUCCGCGUUGUAAUUUGCAGAGGAUGCUUCGGGCUCAGCCCCCGUCUAAGUGCCCUGGAACGGGCCGUCGGAGAGGGUGAGAAUCCCGUCUGGGACGGGGUGUCUGGGUCCGUGUGAAGCUCCUUCGACGAGUCGAGUUGUUUGGGAAUGCAGCUCUAAAUGGGUGGUAAAUUUCAUCUAAAGCUAAAUACUGGCCGGAGACCGAUAGCGCACAAGUAGAGUGAUCGAAAGAUGAAAAGCACUUUGAAAAGAGAGUUAAACAGCACGUGAAAUUGUUGAAAGGGAAGCGCUUGCGAUCAGACUCGCCUGCGGGGUUCAGCCGGCAUUCGUGCCGGUGUACUUCCCCGUGGGCGGGCCAGCGUCGGUUCGGGUGGCCGGUCAAAGGCCCCGGGAAUGUGUCGCCCUCCGGGGCGUCUUAUAGCCCGGGGUGCCAUGCGGCCUACCUGGACCGAGGAACGCGCUUCGGCUCGGACGCUGGCGUAAUGGUCGUAAGCGACCCGUCUUGAAACACGGACCAAGGAGUCUAACAUCUACGCGAGUGUUUGGGUGGCAAACCCAUACGCGCAGUGAAAGCGAACGGAGGUGGGAACCCUUCGGGGCGCACCAUCGACCGAUCCUGAUGUCUUCGGAUGGAUUUGAGUAAGAGCGUAGCUGUGGGGACCCGAAAGAUGGUGAACUAUGCCUGAAUAGGGCGAAGCCAGAGGAAACUCUGGUGGAGGCUCGCAGCGGUUCUGACGUGCAAAUCGAUCGUCAAAUUUGGGUAUAGGGGCGAAAGACUAAUCGAACCAUCUGGUAGCUGGUUCCUGCCGAAGUCCCCUCGGGAUAGCAAGCCAGUAA